rnacentral:rRNA from 1 species
UAGGGAAUAUUAGAAAUGGACGAAAGUCUGAUCUAGCAACACCGCGUGUGCGAAGAAGGCCUUCGGGUUGUAAAGCACUUUUUGGAAGGAUUAGGAAGGAAUGUACUUCCAGAAUAAGUCUCGGCUAACUACGUGCCAGCAGCCGCGGUAACACGUAGGAGGCAAACGUUAUCCGGAUUUACUGGGCGUAAAGCGCGUGUAGGUGGUUCUGUAAGUAGGGCGUGAAAGCUCCUGGCUCAACUGGGAGAGGCCGUUCUAAACUGCAGAGCUAGAGGAUGGUAGAGGGAGGUGGAAUUCCGGGUGUAGCGGUGGAAUGCGCAGAUAUCCGGAGGAACACCAGUGGCGAAAGCGGCCUCCUGGACCAUUCCUGACACUCAGACGCGAAAGCUAGGGUAGCAAACGG